UCAGAAAUUCCAUCAAGCCCCAAAUCUUUUGGUGUGCUGUGGAUGAGCUGUCAGAAGAUCCAGUAACACUGCAGGUGACAUGAAUUCCAAACCUGAAUCAUGCAAUGAGCUCUGUCCUUCAUGGCAUCUUCAGCAGAUUCCUCUGAGCUUGAAUUUUCAAAAGCUGUUAUAAAUCCAAGCCCUGCAGUUCUACACUGGAAGCAGAACCAUGUCAUACCUCCAGAUGAAAGGAUUUUAAGCCAGCUGCACA